rnacentral:tRNA from 1 species
GGAGAGGUGUCCGAGUGGUCGAAGGAGGCGGUCUUGAAAACCGUUGGGCCGCUUCAGCGGUCCCGGGGGUUCGAAUCCCUCCCUCUCCG